UACGUAGGGUGCGAGCGUUGUCCGGAAUUACUGGGCGUAAAGAGCUCGUAGGCGGUGUGUCGCGUCGGCCGUGAAAACCUGCAGCUUAACUGUGGGCUUGCGGUCGAUACGGGCAUCACUGGAGUUCGGCAGGGGAGACUGGAAUUCCUGGUGUAGCGGUGAAAUGCGCAGAUAUCAGGAGGAACACCGGUGGCGAAGGCGGCAUCCUGGACCGGCAUUGACGCUGAGGCGCGAAAGCCAGGGGAGCAAACGGG
rnacentral:rRNA from 1 species